AUACUCAUCAUCUCUGCCACGAGUCAUCCCCACACCCGACCGAUUUCACUUCAACCCCGCACCACCGUGCGCCGCCUCGCAUUAUCCGCUUGGGGGUCCGCGGUUUUGUGAAGGUUUCAUUGACUAUUUCGUUGCUGGCUGCCCGUCUCUGCUUUGCCAUCGAGAGCUCCAACGGGCUUCACCCUCGGCCCUCCACCUCCGCUUCGCCAAUCCUUCCCUGAGGGGCCACAGAACAGGGCGCAGACAAACGCGCGGAGACAUCUCUAUCACACGAUUGCUGUGGUUCGUCGUCAUUACUGUUGGGGUGCAUCGUGCUUGCAGCGCACACACCCGCCCACACGCACAUCCAUCGUUGCCGCUCGUUUAGUUUUUGUUUCCCCCCUGACCCUCUCCCCCGAACUUCGUGAAGUGUGCGUGUGUGUAUGUGUGUGUGUGUAUCUGCGCUCUCUCUCGGUGUAGAGCACCCACACACAUACACACCUCUCCCCUGUUUUCGUUAUCGGUUUGUGCGUUUGGCUUUACUUACUAGAUUUGCCUUAGUUCUUUCUUCAGCUCUCUUUUUUCUCUUCCUCGACAGUGUGUGUGUGUGUGUGUGUGUGUCACCAUUUUAGUCUCACUCAAGCUCUCGCUUCUUUCCCACCCGCCGUGUCGUGCUCGUCGCCCUUCGGCUGUUUACACCCAACCCCCCCCACUCUCACCUCUUCGCUCGCUCUGCCACGCCGGGCGUCAGCAGUGGAUUUACGCGUGUGUGCAUGUACGUGCCUUGGUACUCCUUGCAUUGACGCUCUCCCUGCGCUCAAGCCUGGUUUUUCUUUCUUCAUUGUUCUACAUUCUUCUUCCGUGUACGUUGCUAUCAACAGCAGUGGUUCACGACGCCCCCACCCCACCCCAGGCGCACGCUUCGAGAGUCGCUUGGCAAGAUGCUGCAGGCCGUGCAGAACCUCUUCACCUGCAGCGUCCUUUCCACGGAUGAAACGAAGCCCAAAGAGGAGCGUGAGGUGCCGCAGUGGUCGAAGGGCAACUUCCAGUACAACUGGAUCGGCAUCUACAUCAUCGGUGUGCCACUGCUGUUCGUGCUGCUUGGGUUGUGCCUGCGCGUCCCUUUAUCCUUCUCGCUUCUGCAAUGGCUUGCAUUUUUUGGUGUUGUCACCGGCAUGGUGGGGGUGACGACCGGCUAUCAUCGUCUCUUCUCACACGGUGCUUUCACCGGCGGGCAGGCGAUGCAGUGGGUGUGCGCCUUCAUCGGUGCCGGCGCGUUCCAGGGCUCCAUCAAGUGGUGGGCUCGAAACCACCGCGUCCACCACAAGUACACGGACACCUCCAAGGACCCGUACGACGCGCGCCGCGGCUUCAUCUUCACGCACUUUGGCUGGUUCGUCAUGCGCAUGGACUACGAUCUGCUCGGCGACGCAGAUGUGUCCGACCUGAAGGACAGCCUCGUCGUGGAGUUCCAGCGCAAGUACUUUGCCGCCAUUGCGACCAUGACAGGGAUCCUGAUCCCUCUCAUGGUGGCCGGCGCAACCACUGGUGAGUGGGCGGGUGCGUUCUUCUGGGUGGUGUGGCUCAAGAUCUUUCUGGUACACCAGUUCUCCUUCUUCAUCAACAGCCUCGCGCACACGGACCUCUUUGGCGCCACGAGGCCGUACGCGGAUGACAAGACACCGCACGACUCCGUCGUCUUCGCGAUCAUAAACCUCGGCGAGGGCUACCACAACUACCACCACCAGUUCCCGAACGACUACCGCAACGGUCAUCUGUGGUACCACAUUGAUAUGACGAAGUGGUACAUAUUUAUGUGCAGCUUUCUGGGCUUCUGCGACAACUUGCAGCGUGCGCCGCGCACUGUCGUCGACCGCGCCGCCGCGGUGCAGGCUGUGUGCACGCACGGGCGCAAACUUCAGGAGGCGGUCGAGAAGGUGAAGCAGCUGGAGGUGCCGGCGGACAAGGAGUACGCGUGGGACGACGUGCGGGCGGAGGUGGAGCAGGGCCGCAAGCUGCUGGUGAUGGACGGCUACGUGCUGGACCUCGAGCGGCCAAUCCCCGUGGACCCUGCGUGGGCGCAGACGGACAAGAAGAUCAGCUGGCUGAACACGCACCCUGGUGGACGAGCGCUGCUGCUUGCGUACGUGGGCAAGGACGCGACGGCCGCCUUCAACGGCGGUGUGUAUGGCCACACGACGGGCGCGCGCAGCUACCUGCCGGAGCUGCGCGUGGGCCACAUGAAGGAGCGCCCCGCCUCUUCGGCGUCUGGCAAGGAGGGGAGUGCCGCGGUUUGUAAGGGGCAGUGCAUUACGCUACCUCGGAGACGUGACGUUCUCCUGUGAUGCAGAGUAGAGCGGAACUUCAAGUGCUGUCGUCGUUUACUCUGCUUGUACCCUCCCGUGUUGUCAUAUCGGCACGGGAGCCUCACUUGAGGCCGACUGCGGGACCUGCACCGUCGCUCUUGCGCUUGGCUUCUUUUUUCCCGUUUGAAGAGAGAAGCCGCCUCCACGGUACGGCCACCACGAUCAUCGCCUACUCCAUCUGUGUGUGUGUGUGUGUGUGUGUUCCAACCUAAUGAGCUUCCCUCAUCAUUUUAUGUGCAUUACAUGUGUAAAGCAGAAUGUUUUGUGUUUUUGUGUUCUCUUCUUCGUCAUCGGCGCACCCUGUGGUUCGAUCAUGGGCGUAUGUGUAUGCUCGCGCUCGCAGUUGCCUUCGUCUUUCUGUCCUUGUUGUCGCUGUGUGGUGGUGGUGGUGUGCUUCACUCUGGCUGUGGUGCUGUCGCAUGCCUUGCGCACUGAAGGACACGGCACAAAUAGGGUAUAAACCUUGUAGAUGAUAUGCUGUGCAUUUUCCGUCUAUAUUGUUAUGUGACUGAGUUGUGUCAUGUGGCCUUUUGUUUGCGCCCCUCUCUGCGUUGAUCACCGGACCGGCGAUAGUGGUGAUUGUGCCCCCCCCCUUUGGAGAGCUGAGAGCUUUCGUUUCUUUUUUCUGCCGCUUUAGGCUUGGGGAGUCAUCACCCCGCCCCCCCCCCUGGGGGCUACACGGCCAUCCCUCCCCCCUCUUCCCCCUCGACGACCCCCGCGUUCUCUCUCCCUCAUCAACUCUUCAUCCGUCAUCUUGCUGCUGCCUUGCUGGUCCCUCUCCUUUUUGUUCCUGUGUGUGUGUUUGCGUGGGUGGCUGCCUCGGUUAGCCUCCACACUUCCGCGCCCGUCUCAUUCUCUUCUCUCCCGCCCAUAUUUACUUAUGUUGUGUGCAUCUCCCUCUGCCUCUAUGCGUUUUUUUUUUUCAUUAUUUUUUUUGUUUAUUAUUUUUUUUCUGGUAACAUCAUGUUGCUUGUGUGCUGUUGGUGUUUGCUUCGUGACGCGCUCAUGUUUGAUUCCUAUAUACAUAUAUAAAUAUAUGCAUGUACGUGUGCUUCGUUGUGGGCGUGUUUCACGCAGGAAAUGAUGACUCCCUCAAACGCAAGAAAUAUAUAUACACACGUACAUAUAUCAGCAAAAGAGCGAAAGAGUAUGGCGAGGAAAGUUGUCGGUGAAUCACGUCUGGGAAGGGGAGGGGGCACUCAUAGCGCUCUUUCUUUUUCGUGUGUGUUGGUGCGCGUGUGUGCGCGCGGCUUCUUCUGCUUGCUGUUUGCUUCUCUGUGCGUGUUUGUUUCUUUUUGUUUGCAUCUCUCUACCCCUCCCCCUCGCCUCCCAACCAUGGCAACGAGGAGGGGGGUACAGCGCCAUCAACGUCAAGAACGAAAUGUGUCGGCGGACGUCACCAAGCAGAUGAGGAAAAAAAGGCAAGCAUUCAUGACGAAAAGUUUUGGUGGUGUGGCUAUUCCGCGGAAGUGCGCUUCGCCGCUCUUCGCGCACUCGGCGUCUUCGUGUCGCGCGUCAAGUCGCUUAAACAGCACACACACGCACACACCAAAUACAAACGAAGAGAGAGCUACCUUCGCUUUCCUGAGUGGAAGAGGGAGCGGAUGCGGGUGUGCGCGCGUGCGUCUGUGGAAGCCGAUCUUGCCUCGCCGCCGCCGCCGGACCUCUCUCCUACUCUUGACGGGCAACGCGAUGAUGACAUACGCGGAACUCCACACCACCACCAAUCACCCCUCGUCCGAACCUGCCUUCUUUUUUCUCCCUCUCCACCCCUCCCCCACGAAACGAAAG
rnacentral:misc_RNA from 1 species